UACGUAGGGUGCGAGCGUUGUCCGGAAUUAUUGGGCGUAAAGAGCUCGUAGGCGGUCUGUCGCGUCGAUCGUGAAAACUUGGGGCUUAACCCUGAGCUUGCGGUCGAUACGGGCAUGACUGGAGUUCGGCAGGGGAGACUGGAAUUCCUGGUGUAGCGGUGAAAUGCGCAGAUAUCAGGAGGAACACCGGUGGCGAAGGCGGGUCUCUGGGCCGAUACUGACGCUCAUGCACGAAAGCGUGGGGAGCAAACAGG
rnacentral:rRNA from 1 species